rnacentral:lncRNA from 1 species
AAGAGCUAAGUAAAACGAAACUUAACAAUUCUUUGCAACGUGGCUAAUUCUAGGAAAUCAGGCACCCACUGAAAGGAUGUUUGGAGUGAAUAAACACAUACACACACACUCAUAGUUACUCUUCCACACGAAUGGGUACACAAUGAAAAAAGCCUCUCAUGAAAGUACAGAGUUUUAUUUAAACCAAGGAAGGCAUGAGUGAAUUCAGCAUAAUGGGCCUUUUUUUCCUCCUGAGCUCUUACGCUGGUCCUUCCCAGACUAAACAGAAUAUUUAAGGCAAAUUUUGCCAGUUCACCUAGACGUGAUCAAGCUUAUGUCGUUCUGUCGUGGUUUACUCCAGUAUAAACACAUUCUGGAAGCCUGAUGGGUGUGAUGAGAAAAGUGUCCUCUCUUCACACUUGACUCCUCAGGGAGAAAGGAUGUGUGUGCCAGCUCAAGAGGACGUGAAGGUAUUUGAAUCUAGACGAACGGCUCCAGUCAUCCAGAAACAGCUCCCUUUAGUGGCCAAUUCAGUGCGUAACUAAUUAACCAGAACUGGUGGGAAUUAAUCUGGAAUUUCCCAAGGACUGGGUGGAGUGUUUUAGAACAAAAUAGAAGUCUUCAGCUCUUUUUGGAUGAUGAGCCACUUUUUAUCUCCUGAGAUUCUCAAUAACACCAAGGGUAAGUGGGUAUGAAUUUUGCUGACAAGGAACUGUGGUAGGGAAUUUCCAGAGUAUUACCAGUGAUGAGUGCACAGGAGACUUGGAGGAGGACCAGAGGAAACUUAUCUAACAGCUGGCUAAUUGGCUGAUCUCAGAAUACUUGAUGAGAAGAGUUGCAUUAUUAGUCUGAGUUCUCCAGAGAAACAAAACCAAUAGGAGAUUAUAUAUAGAUUUAUUAUAAGGAAUUGGCUCAUGUGGUUAUGGAGGCUGAGGACUCCCAAGAUCUGUAGUUGGCAAGCUGAAGACCCAGGAGAUCCCAUGGAGUAAGUUCCAGUCCAAGUCCAAGUUCAAAGGCAGAGAAGGCCAAUGUCCCAACUUGAAGACAGUCAGACAGAGAGGAAAUUCCUUCUUAUUCACAGGAGGGUCAGCCUUUUUGUUCUAUUCAGGUCUUCAAUUGAUUGGAUGAAGCCCACCCACAUUAGGGAGGGCCAUCUGCUUUACUCAAUCCGCCAAUUCAAAUGCUAAUCUCGUCCAGAAACAGUGUCACAGACACACCCAGAAUUAUGUUUGACCAAGUAUCUGGGCACCCUGUGGCCUGGUCAAGUUGACACAUAAAAUUAAUCACCAUAAGUUGUUUUAACAGGAUCUUCCUCACUGCCCCAAACAAUCAAUUCAGCUGUUAAAAUUUGGAGCUUGGGUUUAGAAAACUCACCUCCUUCGGGUUAGACUGAUCUAGUGAAAGAGCACAGAGUUUGGAGUUAAAUUGACCUGGAUUCAAAUCUCCCAUCUCACCCAUUUUCUAGCUAUAAGAUGUUGGGUAAAUUAAUAAACCUCUCAAUGUCCUCACUUACAAAGCAGAAAAAAUUGCAGAUUGUUAGGCAAAAAUACGUGCGAUAUGCUUGUCACAUACAUGAGCAUUCAAUACAUCAUAUCUAUUAUCAUUAGCCUUUCCUUCAGCAUUUAUAUAGCAUUGUUCAAAAAAAUAAUUAUUUAGGUAACAUAGAAAAUAGUUUGUAGAUGGAAGAUGAAUCAGAGUAGCUUGAAUGUAGUGUUUUUUUAAGGUAUCCUGAGUGUUGUUUUAAAAUCACUGAAGUAUAUGCACAACUUUAAAUAAAAUCUUGAAAAUCACACCAGACUACGAUACUAAUACUUUGUAUGCUCCAUGUUCCUCUAUUAUGUACUUUGAUUUUGAGUCAGUCUCUGGGGUACCAAACUUGGUAAGGCAAGCCAAGGAGAAAAUAGGACAUGUCUUCAUUGAUGGACAAUAAAGUGUUCCCUCUUGUUUACAGCAUUCAUUCCCUAUUAGGUCACGCCAAUUUGGAGACUGACAAAAACACGGUGUUGGGACUACUUACAAGGCACUUUAAUUUGGCUACAUAGAACUUCAUGUGCUCUCUGGGGUACAAAUUCAUUACAGCCCC